ACCGAAAUAGCUCAGUUGGGAGAGCGUUAGACUAUUGGUCGAAAAGUCCCCGGUUCGAUCCCGGGUUCCGGCA
rnacentral:tRNA from 1 species